UACAGAGGUGGCAAGCGUUGUUCGGAAUUACUGGGCGUAAAGGGCGCGUAGGCGGCUUGGUCAGUCCCGUGUGAAAUCCCUCGGCUCAACUGAGGAACUGCACGGGAAACUGCCUGGCUUGAGUUCGGGAGAGGGAAGCGGAAUUCCUGGUGUAGCGGUGGAAUGCGCAGAUAUCAGGAGGAACACCAAUAGCGAAGGCAGCUUGCUGGGACGGUACUGACGCUAAGGCGCGAAAGCGUGGGGAGCGAACAGG
rnacentral:rRNA from 1 species